rnacentral:rRNA from 1 species
AGUGAACGCUGGCGGUAGGCCUAACACAUGCAAGUCGAACGGCAGCACAGUAAGAGCUUGCUCUUACGGGUGGCGAGUGGCGGACGGGUGAGGAAUACAUCGGAAUCUACUUUUUCGUGGGGGAUAACGUAGGGAAACUUACGCUAAUACCGCAUACGACCUACGGGUGAAAGCAGGGGAUCUUCGGACCUUGCGCGAUUGAAUGAGCCGAUGUCGGAUUAGCUAGUUGGCGGGGUAAAGGCCCACCAAGGCGACGAUCCGUAGCUGGUCUGAGAGGAUGAUCAGCCACACUGGAACUGAGACACGGUCCAGACUCCUACGGGAGGCAGCAGUGGGGAAUAUUGGCCAAUGGGCGCAAGCCUGAUCCAGCCAUACCGCGUGGGUGAAGAAGGCCUUCGGGUUGUAAAGCCCUUUUGUUGGGAAAGAAAAGCAGCAGGUUAAUACCACGCUGUUCUGACGGUACCCAAAGAAUAAGCACCGGCUAACUUCGU